GCGAGGGCGAUGAUGAUCGAAAACUACCUAUUUGUUGAGGGGAUGCGAUUGGUUAAUCAUCUCUAGUGAUAAAGAAACCAAUGGAUCCUACUGAGCCUUCC